UUGUUGGUAAGGUAACGGCUUACCAAGGCUACGACGUUUAGGGGAGGUGAGAGCCUGACCCCCACCGAUGGGACUGAGACACGGCCCAUACUCCUACGGGAGGCCGCAGUCGAGAAUCUUCCGCAAUGGACGAAAGUCUGACGGAGCGACGCCGCGUGGUGGAUGAAGUCCUUAGGGACGUAAACACCUUUUAUGAGGGAUGAAGUUUAUUGACAGUACCUCAUGAAUAAGGGGCUCCUAAUUCUGUGCCAGCAGGAGCGGUAAUACAGAAGCCUCAAGCGUUACCCGGAAUCACUGGGCGUAAAGGGUCCGCAGGUGGUCGUAUUAGUCCCUCGUUAAAUCUAUAGGCUUAACCUAUAGCCCGCGGGGGAAACGGUACGACUAGAGGAUAUGAGAGGUCUACGGAACUCACGGUGUAGGGGUGGAAUCCGUUGAUAUCGUGGGGAACACCAAAAGCGAAGGCAGUAGACUGGCAUAUUCCUGACACUCAUGGACGAAAGCCAGGGUAGCGAACAGGAUUAGAUAUCCUGGUAGUCCUGGCCCUAAACGCUGCUCGCUCGUUUUCGGAAGUAUCGACCCUUUCGGAGACUAAGCUAACGCGGUAAGCGAGCCGCCUGGGUAGUACGAGCGCAAGCUUAAAACUCAAAGGAAUAGACGGGGACUCGCACAAGCAGUGGAUCAUGUGGCUUAAUUCGUCGCUAAGCGAAGAACCUUACCAAGGUUAGAAACCAAACUGCAUACUUUCAGAAACGAAAGUAGCCUUCGAGGGUGUUUGGCAGGUGAUGCAUGGCCGUCGUCAGUUCGUGGCUUGAGCUGUUCCCUUAAGUGGGGUAACGAACGCAACCCUUAUUGUCUGUUAUAUGUGUCAGGCGAGACUGCUCCCUCACGGGAGAGGAAGGUGGGGAUGACGCCAGGUCAGCAUGUCCCUUGAUACCUUGGGCUGCACACGUGAUACAAUGGUUGGUACAAUGAGAUGCGAUGGGGUAACCUGGAGCAAAUCUCCCAAAACCAAUCUCAAUCCGGAUUGAGGUCUGCAACUCGACCUCAUGAAGUCGGAAUUGCUAGUAAUCGUAGGUCAGCAACACUACGGUGAAUACGUUCUCGAGUCUUGUACUCACCGCCCGUCAAGUCAAGGGAGUUGGGGGUGCCCGACGUUCCAGUUUAUCUGGACCUAAGGCAAACUCAAUAACAAGGACU
rnacentral:rRNA from 1 species